GAUGAACGCUGGCGGCGUGCCUAAUACAUGCAAGUCGAGCGAACAGACGAGGAGCUUGCUCCUCUGACGUUAGCGGCGGACGGGUGAGUAACACGUGGAUAACCUACCUAUAAGACUGGGAUAACUUCGGGAAACCGGAGCUAAUACCGGAUAAUAUAUUGAACCGCAUGGUUCAAUAGUGAAAGACGGUUUUGCUGUCACUUAUAGAUGGAUCCGCGCCGCAUUAGCUAGUUGGUAAGGUAACGGCUUACCAAGGCAACGAUGCGUAGCCGACCUGAGAGGGGGAUCGGCCACACUGGAACUGUGACACGGUCCAGACUCCUACGGGAGGCAGCAGUAGGGAAUCUUCCGCGAUGGGCGAAAGCCUGACGGAGCAACGCCGCGUGAGUGAUGAAGGUCUUCGGAUCGUAAAACUCUGUUAUUAGGGAAGAACAAAUGUGUAAGUAACUAUGCACGUCUUGACGGUACCUAAUCAGAAAGCCACGGCUAACUACGUG
rnacentral:rRNA from 1 species